rnacentral:rRNA from 1 species
GAACGAGGAUAUAUCCUUCGGGAUAUAAGCCGAGUGGCACAAGGGUGAGCAAUGCAUAGAUUACCUACCUUUAGGAUAAGGGCAACUUUGUGAAAACGGAGCUAAUACUUAAUAAUACAAAAGAAAAUAAUAUUCUUUUGUCAAAGGGAGGGUAGCAAUACCUUUCGCCUAGAGAGGGGUUUAUGUCCUAUCAGCUUGUUGGUGGGGUAAUAGCCCACCAAGGCGAAGACGGGUAGCCGGUUUAAGAGGAUGGUCGGCCACACUGGGACUGAGACACUGCCCAGACUUCUACGGAAGGCUGCAGUCGAGAAUCUUUCGCAAUGCCCGAAAGGGUGACGAAGCGACGCCGCGUGGGUGAAGAAGGCCUUCGGGUUGUAAAGCCCUGUCAGGAGUUAUGAAAUGUAAGUGCGCUAAUAUCGUGCUUAUUUGACAAAGGCUCCAAAGGAAGCCACGGCUAACUCUGUGCCAGCAGCCGCGGUAAUACAGAGGUGGCGAGCGUUGUUCGGAAUUAUUGGGCGUAAAGAGCACGUAGGUGGGUUUGCAAGUCAGAUGUGAAAGCCUUCUGUUCAACGGAAGAAUUGCAUCUGAAACUGCUAAUCUUGAGUAUAGGAGGGGAGAAUGGAACUUCUGGUGGAGCGGUGAAAUGCGUAGAUAUCAGAAGGAACGCCGGCGGCGAAAGCGAUUCUCUGGCCUAUUACUGACACUCAGUGUGCGAAAGCUAGGGGAGCAAACGGGAUUAGAUACCCCGGUAGUCCUAGCCGUAAACGAUGGGCACUAAGUAGAGGGAAUUACCUAUAUUCUCUCUGCCGUAGCUAACGCAUUAAGUGCCCCGCCUGGGGAGUACGGCCGCAAGGCUAAAACUCAAAAGAAUUGACGGGGGCUCGCACAAGCGGUGGAGCAUGUGGCUUAAUUCGAUGCAACGCGAAAAACCUUACCGGGGCUUGACAUGAUAGAAGUAGGAACCUGAAAGGGGGACGAACGGUAUCCAGUCCGUAGCUAUCACAGGUGUUGCAUGGCUGUCGUCAGCUCGUGUCGUGAGACGUUGGGUUAAGUCCCCUAACGAGCGAAACCCUUGUUUUUAGUUACCAGCGGGUUAUGCCGGGUACUCUAGAAAGACUGCCGUCGUCAAGACGGAGGAAGGUGGGGAUGACGUCAAGUCAUCAUGGCCCUUAUGCCCCGGGCUGCACACGUGCUACAAUGGUCGGUACAGACGGAAGCGAAGCCGAGAGGUGAAGCGAAUCCUAAAAAGCCGAUCUCAGUUCGGAUUGGAGGCUGAAAUUCGCCUCCAUGAAGUUGGAAUCGCUAGUAAUCGCGGAUCAGCAAUGUCGCGGUGAAUAUGUUCCCGAGCCUUGUACACACCGCCCGUCAAGCCACCCAAGCAGGAUGCACCCGAAAACAUUAUAUCUAACCAGGGCAACUUGGAGGAAAAUGUUGAAGGAGUGUUUUGUGAGGAGGACU